GCGGCCACACCGUCCUGUGAGUGGGUUGUGCCUGAUAUCGAAAACUAAGCAGGACUAGGUCUGGUUAGUACUUGGAUGGGAGACCACCUUGGAAGACCAGCGGCUGUUAGAC
rnacentral:rRNA from 12 species